GACGUAGGGCGCGAGCGUUGUCCGGAUUUACUGGGCGUAAAGCGCACGUAGGCGGAUCGUUAAGUCGGGGGUGAAAUCCUGGAGCUCAACUCCAGAACUGCCUUCGAUACUGGCGAUCUUGAGUCCGGAAGAGGUGAGUGGAACUCCUAGUGUAGAGGUGGAAUUCGUAGAUAUUAGGAAGAACACCAGUGGCGAAGGCGGCGCACUGGUCCGGUACUGACGCUGAGGUGCGAAAGCGUGGGGAGCAAACAGG
rnacentral:rRNA from 1 species